AAAGGUCUUGGAAGAGUGGAGACUGUCUACCAGGACGAGCAGCAGCAGCCAGUGUACUCCGCUCUCCUCCAUGGAGACCUCGGUGUUUACGAAACAAUCAGACAACCUGGAAACUACGUAAAUGUUUCAGGUCAAGAACAAUCGGAUUAUGCUGAUGUCAGCGCCAGGUCAGAUUCAGACUGAAGAUUUUGUCAAGAGGAAUGAAUC